rnacentral:rRNA from 1 species
GUGCCAGCCGCCGCGGUAAUACGGAGGGGGUUAGCGUUGUUCGGAAUUACUGGGCGUAAAGCGCGCGUAGGCGGUGAUUCAAGUCAGAGGUGAAAGCCCGGGGCUCAACCCCGGAACUGCCUUUGAAACUAGAUCGCUAGAAUCUUGGAGAGGUCAGUGGAAUUCCGAGUGUAGAGGUGAAAUUCGUAGAUAUUCGGAAGAACACCAGUGGCGAAGGCGACUGACUGGACAAGUAUUGACGCUGAGGUGCGAAAGCGUGGGGAGCAAACAGGAUUAGAAACCCGCUGUAGUCC